rnacentral:rRNA from 1 species
ACAUGCCUACAACAUAGCAUUGAUGCAUCGGAUCUCAUUAGAACUCCGUAGUUAAGCACGCUCAAGCUAGAGUACUACUAGGAUGGGUGACCACUUGGGAAGUCCUAGUGUUUUACAUGCC